GCGCCCGUAGCUCAAUGGAUAGAGCGUGUGGCUUCGAACCACAAGGUUGCACGUUCGAGUCGUGCCGGGCGCGCUA
rnacentral:tRNA from 5 species